rnacentral:ncRNA from 1 species
CAUUAUUUAUUAUUAUGUAUAUGUUGUUUAUUAUGAUUUAGCAAUGAAUUUUUAGUGUUGGCUAAGUUUGUGCCAGCAGUCGCGGUUAUACAUUAAGCACUAUUGAACAUUUUCGGUUAUGCAGUUUGAUGUUGUAUAUUUGUUAUUAACUUUAUUUAUUUGAAUAUUUGGGGUGGAAUUAAUAAAUUCUUUUUUGUUGUUAUUUAUAUUAUUGUAGGCUGUGAAAUCUUUAUUUUAGACUAGGAUUAGAUACCCUAUUAUUUUUGAUGUUAAAGUUGUUGGCCUGGGUAGUAUUAGAUAUGUUCUUGAAAUCUAAAGAAUUUGGCGGUAUUCUAUUCCUUUCAGAGGAAUCUGCCCUGUAAUCGACAAUCCGCGCUGGACCUUACUUAUUUUUUUUUGUUUGUAUACCUCCGUUAUAAUGAAGAUCUUUUUAGUGUUUUAAUUUUCUGGCUUCUUAUAUUAUGGAUUUAUUUCAGGUCAAGGUGCAGCUUGUUUUUAAGUUUGAGGUGGAUUACAUUAUGUUGAUGAUUAUUGAAUUAUUAAUUGUAAUUGUUUUUAUGAAAUUGGAUUUGGUUGUAAUUUGUUGAAGAUUGUUUUGAUGAUAUUGGUUCUGGAAUAUGUACACAUCGCCCGUCGCUCUCAUUUAUUUGUUGAGAUAAGUCGUAACAAAGUGGUCGUACCGGAAGGUGUGGCUGGAUUGAU